CACCGCCCUGUCAAGGCGGAGAUCGUGGGUUCAAAUCCCAUCCGGGUCG
rnacentral:tRNA from 1 species